rnacentral:tRNA from 1 species
GGUUUCGUGGUGUAGUUGGUUAUCACAUCAGUUUUACGUACUGAGGGUCCCCGGUUCAAUCCCGGGCGGAACCA